rnacentral:rRNA from 1 species
GUUGAACGCUGGCGGCAUGCCUUACACAUGCAAGUCGAACGGCAGCAUGGAGAGCUUGCUCUCUGAUGGCGAGUGGCGAACGGGUGAGUAAAGCAUCGGAACGUACCGUGUAGUGGGGGAUAACGUAGCGAAAGUUACGCUAAUACCGCAUACGCACUGAGGUGGAAAGCAGGGGAUCGUAAGACCUUGCGCUAUACGAGCGGCCGAUGUCAGAUUAGCUAGUUGGUAGGGUAAAGGCCUACCAAGGCGACGAUCUGUAGCGGGUCUGAGAGGAUGAUCCGCCACACUGGGACUGAGACACGGCCCAGACUCCUACGGGAGGAAGCAGUGGGGAAUUUUGGACAAUGGGGGCAACCCUGAUUCAGCCAUGCCGCGUGAGUGAAGAAGGCCUUCGGGUUGUAAAGCUCUUUCGGCCGGGAAGAAAUCGCACAGGCUAAUACCCUGUGUGGAUGACGGUACCGGCAUAAGAAGCACCGGCUAACUACGUGCCAGCAGCCGCCGUAA